ensembl:lncRNA
AUGAGGAAACUGAGGCAGCCGGAGCCCAGGCCCACUGCUCCAAAGCCUUCAGCACCACCUAGGCCUGGAGAGCUCGGGGAUCCCGGGCUUCCUACACUAGCCAGAGGUGCUGAGCGAGCGGGGAGCCAAUGGCAGCGCCAGCAAAUCCAGCUCUUCUCCCCAUCCCCGCCCUCUACCUCCAGGCCAUCCAGACUUCUUGUACGAACCCCUCCCCCGCCCCCAUUGAGCCCUCCAGGGAGCCCCGCUUCGAGCUGGCUGGCUCAGAAGGAGGCCCAGUGCCCAAGGGGCGCCCAGAUGUGCCCCCUCCCAGGGCCUGAGGGGGGUUUUCUUCUGCCCUUACAAAGAGGGCAGGUGCAGAGCCGGCCCUGGGGGCUCUGGAGAGAGCUGGAGCCGCUUCCUGCCCCAGCGGGGCUGGCACGCUGUGGGUGUUCCCUGAGCUCCUGGUGGGGCAGGGAGCUGGGGAUUGGCUACCCAGCAGCCCAGGGGAGGAGGAGCAGGCAGGGCGGGCAGAGAGGGCCGGCCACCGGCGGGGCACCUGGAGGGGCCAGACGGCCAGCCCAGGCCAGCCCAGAGCAGACUGCAGCCAGCGCUGGCCCCAGGCAGCCAGGUGAGCAGCUCCCAGCCUCUGGACACAGUGUAGCACCCAGUGGAGGGCCAGGAGGGGGAGAGCGCGAGGGAAGGGCCAGAGAGGGCCUGACCUUCAGACAGACGAGCCUCCUCCGGGAUGCCAGGGAUCGAGGACAAGGAGGCAGCAGAGGAGAGACAGGCCAGAGCGAGGGAGCCCAGAGCCAGCGCCAUGGACCAGGACAGCAAGCUCCCCGCCAUCGACAAGCUGCAGGGGCUGCACAUCUGGGUCAUCGAGACAAUGAAGAUGGUCCCCGUCCCCGAGAAGGCCUACGGCAGCUUCUUUGAGGGCGACUGCUACGUGGUCCUGCAUGUGAGUGGUCCUCCAAGGAGCCUGGCCACUGGGUCACAGGGGAGGACGGGGUGAGAGGGGAGGGGCAGGGCCAGAAUCCAGGCUGGGGGGGAACUUCACCCCCCUCCCCUGACUCCAGGCCAGGCAGGCAGGCAGCUCUGCCAACGUGUCUCAGCCCCCCCCCCCCGCCACCAAAACCUGCUGUCACUCCUAUCUGGGGCACCCAGAAGGGUGGGUGCAAAUCCUGCCCCUGCCUGUCAGGGUGACCUUAGACCCAUCUUUUGGCCCUUCUGCUCCGCUUCUGGGCCCUUCACUCCCCUCAGCCAGCCCAGCUCAAUGAUCUGUUCAUUCCCUCAGCAGCUCCCUGAAGCUGCCCCCCGAGCCAGUCACAGCCUCCUGCCUGGGGGAGGCCCCCCUCCUCCGUGGGGCAGCAUCAGAUUCAGGCUCCUUGUCCUGGCCUCCAAGGCCCCCCCCCCCAGCUCCCACAGGGGUUCUUGUCUCCUCCAGAAAGUCCCUGAAAAGCCUGUCCUGAUCAGCAAGGCGAGGCUCCAAUGCCACCUCCCCCAUGAAGCCCACCCUGAUUGUCCUGGGUGACAAUUCAGUCCCAUCCAAGGGGCAUUUAUUCAGUUGUGCCUAUGUGCCUGGCACAAGGAUGGGCGCUGGGCACAUCAAGGCAGUGGUGAAACAGGUGUAGCCUUCGAGGAGCUGGAAUCCUUCUGGGGAGCCGGGGGCCCCGCAGGAUUGAACCCAUGCCAAGAUGGGCGAACCCCAGAGCGUUUCCGGAGAGGCACAGAGUGCCUCUGAAGUCCCUUUCAGCUCUAAAUCUCAGACAUCAGAGAAGGCUUCCUGUCAGCCGGCCCAAGGCUCUAAGGGGGGAUGGGAUGACUGGGAGCAGGCAGAUGCCGACAGGCCAGAAGAACUGGCAUGCCUGGCGUGGAGAUGGCCCGAGGAAGAGGCGGGCUCGGACCCAGCCCCCCUCUGCCCCCUUAUGGGCUA